rnacentral:rRNA from 1 species
GAUGAACGCUAGCUACAGGCUUAACACAUGCAAGUCGAGGGGCAGCAUGGUCUUAGCUUGCUAAGGCCGAUGGCGACCGGCGCACGGGUGAGUAACACGUAUCCAACCUGCCUUAUACUCCCGGACAGCCUUCUGAAAGGAAGAUUAAUACGGGAUGGCAUCACGAGCCAGCAUUUUCUCGUGAUUAAAGAACUUCGGUAUAAGAUGGGGAUGCGUUCCAUUAGAUAGUAGGCGGGGUAACGGCCCACCUAGUCGACGAUGGAUAGGGGUUCUGAGAGGAAGGUCCCCCACAUUGGAACUGAGACACGGUCCAAACUCCUACGGGAGGCAGCAGUGAGGAAUAUUGGUCAAUGGGCGCGAGCCUGAACCAGCCAAGUAGCGUGAAGGAUGACUGCCCUACGGGUUGUAAACUUCUUUUAUAAAGGAAUAAAGUGAGGCACGUGUGCCUUUUUGUAUGUACUUUAUGAAUAAGGAUCGGCUAACUCCGUGCCAGCAGCCGCGGUAAUACGGAGGAUCCGAGCGUUAUCCGGAUUUAUUGGGUUUAAAGGGAGCGUAGAUGGGUUGUUAAGUCAGUUGUGAAAGUUUGCGGCUCAACCGUAAAAUUGCAAUUGAUACUGGCGGCCUUGAGUACAGUUGAGGUAGGCGGAAUUCGUGGUGUAGCGGUGAAAUGCUUAGAUAUCACGAAGAACUCCGAUUGCGAAGGCAGCUUACUAAACUGCCACUGACAUUGAUGCUCGAAAGUGUGGGUAUCAAACAGG